GUACGGGGGGGGGCAAGCGUUGUUCGGAAUUACUGGGCGUAAAGGGCUCGUAGGUGGCCAACUAAGUCAGACGUGAAAUCCCUCGGCUUAACCGGGGAACUGCGUCUGAUACUGGAUGGCUUGAGUGUGGGAGAGGGAUGCGGAAUUCCAGGUGUAGCGGUGAAAUGCGUAGAUAUCUGGAGGAACACCGGUGGCGAAGGCGGCAUCCUGGACCAUUACUGACACUGAAUAGCGAAAGCCAGGGGAGCAAACGGG
rnacentral:rRNA from 1 species